rfam:Picea glauca, whole genome shotgun sequence.
ACAUGCCUACAACAUAGCGUUAAUGCAUCAUAUCCAAUUACAACUUUGUAGUUAAGCGUGCUUGGGCUAGAGUAGUACUGGGAUGGGUAACUUCCCGGGAAGUACUAGUAUUUUACAUGCC